GCACCAGUGGGGAAUAUUGGGCAAUGGACGCAAGUCUGACCCAGCGACGCCGCGUGCGGGAUGAAGGCCUUCGGGUUGUAAACCGCUUUCAGCAGGGAAGAAGCGAAAGUGACGGUACCUGCAAAAGAAGCACCGGCUAACUAUGUGCCAGCAGCCGCGGUAAUACAUAGGGUGCAAGCGUUGUCCGGAAUUAUUGGGCGUAAAGAGUUCGUAGGUGGUUCGUUACGUCGGAUGUGAAAAUCUGGGGCUCAACCCCAGACCUGCAUUCGAUACGGGCGAGCUAGAGUUUGGUAGGGGAGACUGGAAUUCCUGGUGUAGCGGUGGAAUGCGCAGAUAUCAGGAGGAACACCAAUGGCGAAGGCAGGUCUCUGGGCCAAUACUGACACUGAGGAACGAAAGCGUGGGGAGCGAACAGGAUUAGAUACCCCUGUAGUCCGG
rnacentral:rRNA from 1 species